rnacentral:rRNA from 1 species
CGCGGCUGCUGGUGUGGGGUUGUGGGACCCACUUGUCGGGGCUGUCGACCCGGCGGGGAGUUGAGAAAGUGGCGUGAUUAGCGGAAGGCGUCUGGAAAGCGCCAGCGUAGAGGGUGACACUCCCGUACGCGAAAAUCCGUCACCUCCCGGUGGGGAUCCCAAGUAGCAGCGAGCCCGUGAAAUUCGCUGUGAAUCUGGCGGGACCACCCGCUAAGCCUAAAUACUCCCUGAUGACCGAUAGCGGACCAGUACCGUGAGGGAAAGGUGAAAAGUACCCCGGGAGGGGAGUGAAAUAGUACCUGAAACCGUGUGCCUACAAGCCGUCGGAGCCUUACGGGGUGACGGCGUGCCUUUUGAAGAAUGAGCCUGCGAGUUAGUGGUACGUGGCGAGGUUAACCCGGGUGGGGUAGCCGUAGCGAAAGCGAGUCCGAACAGGGCGAUCUAGUCGCGUGCUCUAGACCCGAAGCGGAGUGAUCUACCCAUGGCCAGGGUGAAGCGCGGGUAAGACCGUGUGGAGGCCCGAACCCACCAGGGUUGAAAACCUGGGGGAUGAGCUGUGGGUAGGGGUGAAAGGCCAAUCAAACUCCGUGAUAGCUGGUUCUCCCCGAAAUGCAUUUAGGUGCAGCGUCGUGUGCUUCUCGUCGGAGGUAGAGCACUGGAUGGUCUAGGGGGCCGACAAGCCUACCAAAAUCAGCCAAACUCCGAAUGCCGGCGAGCCAGCAGCCGCGGUAAU